rnacentral:lncRNA from 1 species
GGGGCUCUGAAGCACCGCUACCCUGUGGUUGCCGAAAGGAAAAGGGGCCUGCGCACACGUGGUGUGUGGUGAGGGGCUGUGCGGGCAGGGGAGACACAGCUCACCCGGGAAGGCCAGGGGUGCGUGACGAGAAGCUGACAGAAAGUGGUGCUCAGUGUGUGGAAAAGAAGCGAACGUGGCUUGCAUGGGGCCUCCAGGCUCACUGCGAGAAGAUGAGCGCAGCCUAGCCGUGAGGCAGCACUGCUCAGGGACGUGCGUUGGAAAGCACGAUUCUCUACAAUUCCUACACCACUUCAAACAAGAAAGAAUUCCGUUGAAGCAUACCAAGGGGAGGGCCCACUGACGUCCGGAUUGGUAACUUCUGUGAGGGCGUGCUCUUUGUACAGCCGGGUCACUGGGCUGCGGCAGUUGCAACGCCUCGAGGGCUCCUGGAGCAAAGUCCCUGAGAAGCUGCAAAUAGAGCGUUUGUAGAGCCGGACGGGGAUCAGGCCGGGCUGGUUGCACGGUGAAGAACCCCAGAGGACAGAAAGCAGCACGUGGAUUAAGGUACCUUCCAGAGCUUUGCUUUAAAAAGAUUUUAAAGGUUGCUCUCGUUCCCAGCCGGCUUCCCA